rnacentral:rRNA from 1 species
GGCAGACGGGUGAGUAACAUGUGGGUAUCUGCCCUUUGGCCUGGAAUAACACGAGGAAACUUGUGCUAAUACCGGAUAAGUCUUUACGGAGAAAGCUUUAUGCACCAUUGGAUGAGCCCGCACUUGAUUAGUUUGUUGGUGGGGUAAUGGCCUACCAAGACUGUGAUCAAUAGCUGAUUUGAGAGGAUGAUCAGCCACAUUGGGACUGAGACACGGCCCAAACUCCUACGGGAGGCAGCAGUGGGGAAUCUUGCACAAUGGAGGAAACUCUGAUGCAGCGAUGCCGCGUGAGUGAAGAAGGCCCUUGGGUUGUAAAGCUCUUUCGUCGGGGAAGAAGAUGACUGUACCCGAAUAAGAAGGUCCGGCUAACUUCGUGCCAGCAGCCGCGGUAAUACGAAGGGACCUAGCGUAGUUCGGAAUUACUGGGCUUAAAGAGUUCGUAGGUGGUUGAAAAAGUUAGUGGUGAAAUCCCAGAGCUUAACUCUGGAACUGCCAUUAAAACUUUUCAGCUAGAGUAUGAUAGAGGAAAGCAGAAUUUCUAGUGUAGAGGUGAAAUUCGUAGAUAUUAGAAAGAAUACCAAUUGCGAAGGCAGCUUUCUGGAUCAUUACUGACACUGAGGAACGAAAGCAUGGGUAGCGAAGAGGAUUAGAUACCCUCGUAGUCCAUGCCGU